UCUCUGUAGUGACCAGCAGGGGGCGACUCCUCUGCUCCCAUAGACGUCUAUGAGGAAAUGACUCUACUUCUCUGUAGUGACCAGCAGGGGGCGACUCCUCUGCUCCCAUAGACGUCUAUGAGGAAAUGACUCUACUUCUCUCUGGAUUUAUUCCCAUAGUAAACAUUGUAAACAUGAGUUUAUGGUCUCAGUCUGAUGUUCAUUUAGUGAAUUAUGGUCCAUUUAGAGUCAAACAGACCAUAAAGCAGGGGACGCUUUAGGGCGAGGCUUCCUGUGAUUGACAGUUCCUUCCCAGAUAUCUUUGGUCACUUCCUGUCCACUGGUUGCAGCCAAUAUGGCGACCUGGAGGCGUCGAGCUCUAGCAAGUGAUCUCAGCAUCAUUUGAGGAAGGCUGAAGACACAAAGACGCACACGUCCCACGAACCGGUGCACGUUGUGUUUGUGAGGUCGCGCGACGGCACCAGAGCGCCAGGAUCUACGGCUGAUGGAGAACCAGCUGCUGAGGGGCGGAUGGGAUCCAUCGGCCCUUUUUCCUUCCCAUGAGAAAGGAGGCUCGGACGUGAACACACGCAGCCCGGUUCGUCUGACUGGGAGGACCGGGAGGAGAGCAGUGCAUCCUGGGAGUUGAAGCGAGCUGCUCCCUUCGCUUUCUGACAAUGUCACAGUUCUACAAAAUAAAUAUUCCCUCAGGCCUUGGGAAUCAUUUAGAUGAUUCUGAACACACACAAGGUGAAAACACAUCCGGCUCGCCAUUCACAACAUUUUCAUGGUCUUUCUUUUUUUACUAAACAGAGUGAUUAGUCUCAGCGAGAGAAAAGAAAAUUACUGAUUUGUUCCCUCAAAUGAAUCAUCUCAACCUUUAAUUUCCUCCCCUGAUGUAAUAUCUGCAGUGCUCUGUAAUUACAUGUCAUCAAGUUACUGUAGAGGUUGGAGCUGAAUUUAAAAGGUUGCUGCUCUGCUACGUCGGGGAGACACGAAGGGACAAAUGAACACUGGUGCUGUCACCUGGUCACCUGGUCACCGGGUCACCUGGUCACCUGGUACAGAACCAAGUCCAUCUACAGCGAGAUGAUGCUGCUGUGAACAUGGAUUCACUAGGUGAGACUUUAUUGGACGUGAUCAUUGUGGUGUUGUUUUUUUACAAAAGCAGUGGACAGGAAGUGACCAAAUAAGGACUGAGGAGGACGUUGGUAGAGACCUGUCAAUCAGUGUGUAGCCCCGCCUCUGAAGCAUCGUGUGGUCUGUUUGGCUCUAAAUGGACCAUAAGCUGCUAAAUGUCAUCGACACACAACAGUGUCAACAGGAUUAUAAUUACUGUCAUUAUUAUUAUGGAGGUAGUCGACAGUUAUUGGGUGAAAAAGAUGUUGAAACGGACAAAGCAGAAUAGAUGAGUGAAUAAAUCAAGCUGGACGCGAUGAUCAUUUAUCCGCCGCCUUAAAUGACUUUCAUGUUGAUGGUUUAGUAUUUAAUGGGAUGCAAGUGGUUUCCAGAUAGAUUAUCUUUGUGUUUUCUGGGUCAUGCACUCAUUUAACAGCAUUAACACCGGCACAUAAGGAAUGAGUUAUUAUUCAGCCAGCUACGGACACUAAACAAAGGGUUGUACGCCGAUCAACCUCCUCGCUGUAAACGGAGGUAUUAUCUAAAGGAGACAUUCGGAGCCUCGUAUGACAAUUAGGGGACAUUCAAGAAAGAAAUUGCAGAUGAUGGUAACGUUUAUUUAUCGACGUGGGGACGACUGAAUGCAAUUUACUACUUUAUCAUUUUAAAUGGAUUCUACAGUGCAGAUGCAUGUAAAAAGCCACUUUGGAAGAUCUCGUCCAGGAUCCUGAGGACAGGAGACAAUCGGGCUCCAUAGUAGCCGCAAAGUUCCCUUACUUAUAUUAAUCUAUUGUCAUUCAUUCAUUUGAAUUACUGCCUUUUAAAUGCUGAGUCUCCUGUUAAUUAUAUGUGAACAUCGCCCCCCCGUCCCGCAUCAUGACAUCAUCAUGACAUCACUGUUACCGCUACCAAAGCCCCUGUCGGCUGCUUUGUUACAGCCGUGUGAACCCAAAGUAAAGAGACGCUGAAACGACAACCGGCGAUGUGUGAGAGUCGGACGUCAGCGCUGUAGCCGCUCCGUCAACCCUGGGAGUAAGGUGACGUGGGCGUGAAUGUUACCGGUUUGUCCCGCGCUACGCACAUCAACACACACAGCCCUCAUCUGCUGCCACACAGCAGACGGAAGACACAUCAGAUUUCAGUCAAAAGAGACGGAAACGAGAAGACGACAAAAGAAGCUCGGAGACGAUCGCACAGAAACAGGGAGGGAAAUAUCGACUGUGUCCCAACCGUCCCAAUGACAGCUCGUCUUCGUCCCUCCUCAUACACCCCCCCACACACACACAACGCCCUACGAGCGUUGGCCACGGGAGGGAUGGGGGGGGUCAGAGGGCAACGUGGACGUGACGUGAGGAAGAGACGAAGAGCGAGGGAGGCGUUGGAUGAUGAUGGAGGGGGGGGGGGCUGCGUGGGGCAGAUACCUGGUGAGUAACGGCGGCCUGAAGCUAAAUAACUCCUCGCUAGAACUACGCAGGAGGAUCCUCGCUGUGUGUUUGUGUUACAGGAGCAUAUACACAACACACUGUGUAUAUGCAGAGAGCACCAUGGAGAGGUUAAGUGAAGAAGAGGAGGAUGCUAAACAACUGUGAGGAGAUGAAGAGGCAUCCAAAGGAGGGGGGGGGGGGGUCAAAGCAUCCAACAAACAUGGAGACAGGAAGCAGAAAGAGCGCAGCAAUCAAUGAGAAGAAGGGGGAGAAGGCGGGACCAGGAGACCAGUGGAGGAGAGUGAAGGUCCACCUGAAGGUCUCGAUGUGUCCGUCCUGAGCUCUGAGUCACACGACUCAGCAGCAGGUCUGAGCGUCACCGGUUCAACGGGCGGCAGCCCAAAUACACAAAUACUAAUAACAAACAGCACGGAUACGCCGUCGGCGCGCCGUUGUCAUAGAAACAGGAAGUGACGGGAGCUCCCGGCGCCCUGCGGCCGCUCCUCCGCCCGUAGACCUUCCUUCGCUGAGCCAGGAAGUCAAAGAAAGGAGGCCAGGAAGAAGGUGAGAAGAGGUGGGAAGCCCGUUGGGGGGGCGGGGGGCAAUUAGUAAGGAAGGGAAGUGACUCUCUCCCUCGGGUUGGUUGAACGUUGGAUGUGAGGCUCUGUGUUCUGUUAAAUAGGCGACGCCGCGCAAAGAGAGCAGUGUAGAUGAACGCACACAAACCCACUCACAUGCAGCACUGUGAUCGGCUCUGUCGAGACUUUGCACCCCCAACGCUCACAUGUCGGCAACAUGCAACGCACACAAACCCCGGUUUUACGUAAGUGUGUCGCACACCCACUCGCUGGGAGUUGACGCCGUGCAGAGCAUGGAGGUGAAGGGGGGGGGGUUCAUUUCCUCUCGUUUUCAACCAGCGGGGCUGAAUGCCGAUGUCGAUGCUGAAUGCGUGGAACGAGAACAACAUCAACGCGAGAAACAACAUCCAGCUGCAUCGCUGGAACUGGAAUCGGGAGGCGUAAUGAAGUGAGAGAGGCAGAUGUAACCAGCAGGCUGUGGCUCCAGUGCGUUGAAGCUGCAUUCUCUGUACCGUCCACUAGGGGGCGACUCCUCCGCUCCGACACAGGCCUGUAAAACAACAUGGCCACGGCCGUAACACCAAGAGGCCGAUGGAGGACUGUUGCAAUUCACCCAACUGAAGGGCACAGGUUGCAAAAGUCCUACUUAUUCAUUCUAAGUGUAGCUCCACUGGUGUGGAGGCAGAUUUCACGGCCUCGCAGCAGGAAGCUUCUUCCUCGUGUGCAUUUGUUCGUGUUUUCCUUUUGGAAUUAAGAGGUUUCCUGGGCGGCGGAAGUGUUGGUUUCCAUUAACUGUCUGGGGCCUUUAAAAUCGCCUUGAGGCGUCAAACCAGCGUGUUUGAUGCAGGCGGGUCGCAGGCUGCCGGAGCGCCGUCUGGCACUCACGGCGCUCUCUUCAGCUUGAUGGCGGUUGCGUCAUCCGCUCUGUGUCGCGUCUCCUUCCAGCUGCAGCCGAGCCUCCACCGCUGACUGAGGGAAGUCAUUUAGCAGUAUAGUGCUGUAGUAUUACUGUGCAAACUCUACAAUGUCAAAUAUUUUUCACUACACAUUUGCUGUAAAUUACUGUGACUCGGUAGAAGCUUAAUACUACGGUAAUACUUAAAAAGCAUGAAAUACUUUUUCUGUGAGGAGUCACUCAAAAUAGAUUUUCUAAAUGCUUCUUGACAUAGAAUGUAACUUAGACGUCACAUGACAUCGCGUCCGGCAGCUUUAUAUCUCUUUUUAUCGGACACGUCUGAGUGAGGAGAUGUAAUGACAGACUGACAGACUUCCGUUACGUCCAGUAAGUAGUUGAAUUAAAUAGUAAUAAUUCUUCCUUUGCCCCAAACUAACUGGAUGUAAUAAUCAUUUAAGCUCACGGUUCAUAUCCGACCUUUAGAGGUCAUCAGCCCUCCAUCAUCAGUCCUUCUCUAGAAGUCAUCAGUCCUUCUCUAGAGGUCAUCAGUCCUCCUGUAGAGGUCAUCAGCCCUUCUCCAGAUGUCAUCAGCCCUUCUCUAGAGGUCAUCAGUCCUUCUCCAGAUGUCAUCAGCCCUUCUCCAGAUGUAAUCAGCCCUUCUCUAGAGGUCAUCAGCCCUUCUCCAGAUGUCAUCAGCCCUUCUCCAGAUGUCAUCAGCCCUUUUCCAGAUGUCAUCAGCCCUUCUCUAGAGGUCAUCAGUCCUUCUCCAGAUGUCAUCAGCCCUUCUUUAGAGGUCAUCAGUCCUUCUCCAGAUGUCAUCAGUCCUUCUCUAGGGGUCAUCAGACCUCCUGUUGAGGUCAUCAGCCCUUCUCCAGAUGUCACCAGUCCUUCUCUAGAGGUCAUCAGACCUCCUGUUGAGGUCAUCAGUCCUUCUCCAGAGGUCAUCAGACCUCCUGUUGAGGUCAUCAGUCCUUCUCUAGAGGUCAUCAGACCUCCUGUAGAGGUUAUCCGGAGUCAGUGAUAGACUCCCUGCUGUGAGUCAUUCUUUGUAAAAAGGUUCAGAGCUUUACAGAGACAUGAAUCUGAAAAGCCCGGCGACAAACUGAAUGAACAGAGAAAAGCCUGAGGCAAUAAAGAGACUAAGGAGGAACAGAAGGAACCGAUAAGAGACACUGGAGAGUACGACAAAUAUCAGGUUUGAUUUGUAGUUCAGUGCCUAAUAUCAGCUUCAAUCUUCCAUCUGUAACGAGUGAAUAUCCUCUUUGGCCACAGGUUGAGAAUAAAGCCUUGGGAUGAAUUCAGGUAUCAGUGAUGAUACCAAUGUUCUCGAGGUGGAGAUUCCUUUUAGCUCCGGCUUUGGUCCCCACCGACUCCCAGCGACCGCGAGCAGAAGCCUGCGAAGCUCAGCCGAGUCGAGAGCAGCUGCAGAUUUGGUGAUCAAUUAUUUUCAGACAUUUUGUAGAUCGUUAUUAAGUGUAAGUAGUGCGAGUAGUGAGCCAUUACGCUCAAUUUGAUUUCUGAUCCGCUCCCUGGCCGAGUUCAUCUGUGGCCCUUUGUCUGUUUCUCUUUCAUUUACUCGCCCUUCAGAAGAACCGCCUUCUUUUUGCAACCGUCCACCUAAAAAGUGAGUUACUACAAGUCAUCCAUCCCCAAAAUGGGUCUCAAUCUUUCGUUUUGAUGCUUCAGGGCGGGGCUACACGAUGAUUGACAGGUCGACAACACAGACGUACAUAAUUCUCAAUCCUUAAAUGGUGACGUCCUCCUCACUUUUAUAAGAAAAGCAUCACGGACAAAUCAUUUAGGUGAAGAGUGAGAACUCCAGCGCGUGUUUAUUUACUGAAAACUACAGUAUUUCAGAUGGAAUUCAUCUGUAACUUGAUCACAACACGGUUUCCAGCUGUGAUGUAAUCACGCUGCUUCGCUUCAUCAGAACUCGACAACGGGAGAGAAAACUCCCUAAAUGGCAACUGGAGUAUUGUUUGUACAGUCGACAAUAAUACAUGCGAGUACUUGUUUAUGCCUUUAAUCACAUUUAUUAAAUCAUCUCCGUGGCUGAUUAUUUUUAGAGCAGUUUCUGGCGACGUUUGGUUCCUUUUGGACGACGCUGGAGAUAAAAUGUAGUUUCAUUUGCCAGCGCGCGAUGAGAGGAGGUGGAGGGAAGGAACAGAUGGAGGUUACUGGAAGAAGAAACCAACAAUAAUGUUUACAAAAGAGAAGGAAGCGAAACACCGGACGGAAUCUGCUCCGCGGCGUAACUUCUCUCCUGAAACCGUCGUUUAUUGAUGAGGCUUUGGGGACGUUUGUCAGAAGGCGAAUCAGCCGACGAGAGAUGAGAUGAGAUGAGAUGAGAUGAGAUGCGAUGUCCCCCCCUUGGAUACAUGGAGACAUGUGGAGGUUUUAUGUAUUCAACUUUUAGAUCCCCGAUCAGGUCUUUUCGCUAUGAAUUGCUGAUCAAUAUUGACGGAUACAGAUCUGUGGUUUCUUUAUAGCAGCUGGUCUACGAGGGUCAACAAUGUUCAUUUUCACCGUCGCCGAAGUCAAACUUCCUUCCUGCCUUCAAAAGAAACACACAAUUCAAAAGAUAAUGAAAUAAAUAACUGUUUCUUGAGUGAAACGAAUCGUUUCUUCAUAACGUGUCAUGAGCUGCGUUCACGCCGUUAAACCACACGGCGCAGAAUAAACACCGACAUUCACGGAACCGUCGUUCCGUCACGCCGACUGGGCUUCAGGGGAAGAAAGUCCUAUUUCCCUUUGUGGCCGCGCUCGUGAAAGCGCCCGCCGGGACGGGCCGCGCAGCCCCGCCGUCCCGUUUCUAGACCACGGCGGUGGUCUUCCAGCCGCUGCAGGGGGACGGUUCCUCUGACCGGACAGCUUCGUGGUCCAGGAGCAGAAGUGACCGGGAACAAAAUAGACUAUGAGGGACACAAAUGACACGAAACCGAUAAAAACAACAACGCAAAAUGAAACCGAAGCUUCAGGCGGUGAGACUCCAACAAGCGGAGUGUCUCUACUGUCCGGUGCCUCCUUCCCUUCGCCGCUGCCUCGUUUCCUCUGUCCUAGCUCGCUGCUUUGCUUCAAUUAUCAGCCGCCAGGUGUGGACACACACACACACACACACACACACAUUCCCUCAAACUGAAGUGGGAGCGGAAAACAAUGGCGGCGAUAUUGCAGGCUGGUGGCGAACGAGAACGUGGGCGAGCGAGGAUUAAUUACAGAUAUGAGAGAGAGAACAUGUGAGAGGAUGGGGGGGGGUGGGGGGGGAUGUGAUAUUUGGGAAGCCGCCUGCGUGAUGGUCACUCAGAGGACGCAGUCGUGCUGAUUAAACGUGAACAACACAACGAGUCGACGGCUGGAAGUGGUUCUUCAAGUUAAAUUCUCAUUUCAGACUCUAACAGGAGAAGAUUCAUCUAGAAAAGGACCUGCAGAUGAAAGUCUCACAUGAAGACAGGUUAGAAAUCCCUAAACAAAAGCGUGUGGCCUCAAUGUUUAGUUUAAGUCCUCUUCAACACAGUGGAACGCCCAUUUUAGUGGAUUUAAUGUGCUUUGGGGGCGGGGCUACAGCGUGAUUGACAGGUCUCUACUCCAUCAGGAAAAGUCACACUAGCCAAAUGUGUCGAAGAGAUGGAAAUCAAUGAAGAUCCACCAGGUCACUUCUGUGAGUCGCCGAGACGUUGAGUUGUGUUUGGUUUUCGUUGCGUUGCGUCGUGUUUUUGUCGCGUUGUGUUACAGUUGCGUUGCAUCAGAUGGAAGAAAACCUCUACGACUACGCAGUGAGGCAACAUGUGUGAAUGCAUGAGACACGUCAUUGACCAGUGAUCCACACACACACACACACACAAUCAAUAGAGCUGAUUAAGCAGCUGGGCAGAGACAAAUAGUCCAUUACGUGUGUGUGUGUGUGUGUGUGUGUGUGUGUUUAUCGUUUGUUUGUCAUUGUUUACAUGUUACAUGCGUGUGUGUGUGUGUGCCGGGGGCCUCGGUUCGGAGGACGUGUUGAUCCCAGCGAGUCUCGCGUGGACGAGAGGAAGAAACUCACAGUCCAGAGACAACGACGCAAGAAAGGUGGAAAAACUAAAAGCUUUAUUUUGUCUGCUGCGCCUGAAUAAAUCAUCUGCUCGGAGUUCACCAAUGACUGAUGAAUUAGUAACUCAGCGCCCACGUGACCUUUAGCCUGCCGGGGUUUAGGAAGACUUCCUCGGUGGACUCUUCAGAUGCUGUUAGUCAUCAUUAGUAUUACUUGAGCUGACUAAACUGGACCAUGGCACAUCAUUUGGGGAUUUUAUUACUAAAUAAAAGUUUAUUUUAUCGUUUACACACCCUCCAUCUCAACAUAUCGUUCUUCUGGCACCAUUUGCCAUAAAAAUCCAUCUAAAAGAAGCAGAAAUCUGUGAACGAUCCGUCUCUUUUCUUACAGGUGGUCUUUGCAAUGCUGGCAAAUGGAAGCGUCCGGUCUCCACAUCCCUUGUAUUUGGAACUGAUGUUGGAUGAGAGAAGACGGAGCUGAACUCCUGUUCGUCGUGGAGUCAGCAGAUAGUGGCUGUAGUCUUGGAGGUUGACCCCUCCCUGCACGAGCUUGAAGAAGCCCCCCGUCACACUUCCUGACUCCCCUCAGCAGCUCAGCGCCUCUGAGGCCCUCAAACACCUGCUUUAAUACGCUUGUGUAACAGCGCUAAAGGCGACGUUUCCACACACACACACAAAUAUAAGAAACGGGAAUAAAACUCAAUUCUGGAGAAGAAAGACUCAAGUCGUCUCUUAUAGUGCAGAAGGUACCUCGGUACAGCAGAAGAUACCGAGAAGCUCACGCGAACGACAGGAGAUCCUUUGAUUCUCUUCGUCUUGUCUUCAUUUUACACAGCACAGCGUUAACUAAAUAUAGAAAUGAUGUCACACGGUAGAUAAACUAUAUGCUCUCGUGCCGAACGCGGCUCUUCUGUGUCAUGACGCCAGUAAAACCAGACAAACCCGGAGCAUCACGGGUUGACGUGGCAGAAGGACUCAAUUGCAGAUUUCAAUAACAAAAACGGCUUUAUUCCACAAAAUCAAAAGGCCUGGGGGGCAAAACUCACCACACGACACUCGACAUAUGAAGCUCAAUAAACCCACCUGGCCUAAAUACACUGGGACUGUGUGGAAACAAUCGGGGACACGGCAGAUAAUCCCAGGGGACGACGCAGGAAGUGAAGCUCACCCAGGUACGACGACGCAGGGCUACUGAACUACAAAAACACUUCAUAUAUUGUUCAUAGUUUGAAGUCAAAAAGUUUGAAGCUGUAUUUUGAAACCAAGAGUGUUUAUGUAUUCAUUUAUAUUUACAGUAUUGUUUCAAUAGUUAAUAUAUUGCUCAAUUCAAAGAAAGAAAUUACCUUUGCCAAUAAAAGAAAACCUUUCCUUAAUGUCGUCAUUGGUUGAUUCUGUGUCUUU
ensembl:lncRNA